UGAAUGACUCNCGACAAUGGAUAUCUCGGCUCUCGUGUUGAUGAAGAACGUAGCGAAAUGCGACAUUUGGUGUGAAUUGCAGAAUCCCGCGAAACCAUCUAGUCUUUGAAUGCAAGUUGCGCUCGAAGACCAUUGGGUUGAGGGCACGUAUGUNUGGGUGUCUUG
rnacentral:rRNA from 1 species